CUGUGAACGCAGUCCCUCGAGGACCAGAGAGCGGCCCCUAAGUUCCGCCCAGAGCCACUUGUAUCCGGCCCUGGCUCCGCCCUCGCUGCUUGCGCAGGCGCAGAGUGGGCCUGGCUCCGCGCUCUCCGGCUUCCCGCCCGGGAGGGUCGCUGUGGGUGGGGCCUCUGGUCGGGUGUCCAGGAAGAGCCCCAGGGUGACGGGGUGUCCAGGAAGAGCCCCAGGGUGACGGAGGGAAGGCUCGCCGGCUAAGUCCAGUGUUACUCAAUUUCCUUUUUGGUGUUGUUCUUGAAACGGGCUCCCAUGUAUCCCAGGCUGGCUGAAAACUUUUUAUGGAGCCAAGGAUGACCAGAGCGUCUUCUCUUCCUGAUUCCUCAAGCUGACUGCUAGAAUCACAGGGGAUGAACUGUUCCAGCUGUUCUACAUAACGGCAUGCUCUUGUCCAUGGUGCUUAGCCUUGCCUUAGGUUCAAAACAAUAAACAAACCUCUGACCCUGUGAACUAAGAGGCUCUCACUGGACCUGGAGCUCACUGAGUGGCUACACUGACUGCUUCAUGUAAUGGCUUCUCUGGGUCUCCAUGCAGGGACUGCCCUGUCACAAGCCUGGGAUCAGUAUCUUUCCUUAGCCACAGAGGAAAAUCCCACAACCCUUUACUCUGUAUCAUGACUCUAAGGAUAGAACCAUGUGACUGAAGCUGUCAAGUACUGAUGCCCACUUGGGAUGAAGUCUGGCUUCCUCGUUGAAUUACAUUUGUAUAAGGCUGAUUGACAAGUCCAGCAGAAAGCCCAUUCUGCUGACUCACUUGCUCAGCAAAAGCAUCCUCUAGAAAUGUCUGCAGGGCAGGAGACUUGAGUCACUUUCCCACACUGGGGAGGUGACAUUCUCUUGUAAGAAGUGAAGACUGUCUUUUGUAGAGACAUAACUUGAUGGGCUCUUUGGCAUAAUGGUGACUCUUGAACAGCUAAUAAAAUAAGAACGUGAAGUUGGUCUUCAAAACUAUUAUAAAAUGUUGAAACAGAGAUUAUCUGAGUCCUAUGUAGGAGAAAUUGGAGGUACUGGAAGAGCCGAAGAGAUAAAAAGGGUCUGGAAAAAAGCAGAACUGUGGACAAUGAUUAGCCACUGCCCUGCAGUCAGUCCAAGAAUAUAAGAAUUCAGUUCUAAACGAAUGGCUGUCCUAUCUUGUAGACCUCUUGUGCAUAGCCUAUACUGAAUCCCUAGUAAAAGCACAACCCACAGUCUCCCGGGUUCAGUUGUGAUGUAAAGGACUCUGGUGUGGCCAGAUGGGAACAAAGUUGCGAAGACCAAGGGCAGAAGCUCUUUUAGUGGGAUGAUUCCAUGUGUGAAACUGUAGCAGGGAGAUGAUAUCCUAUGACUGGUGAAAGCACUGACACAGAAAACUGAACCAUAUGGAAAUUUGGAGAGACAUCACCAGUUGUUCUAUGCUUCUGGAGUGAUGACUGGAUUUUCGGAGUAUGUGGAAAGGAACUUAAAUGUUAAAGACAAUGAAGUGUCAAGAAGUUGGCGGUAAUUCUCCACGGUUAAUCACAUGACCUUGUGGCAACUGUAUCACUUUACAAUUGUGACAGCUUCACGUCUGUCAGCAUCUUCUGCACAGUAUUAUCAUCUCAUUGUAGGAACAAAGAGACCUCACAACCUUUUAACAUGUCCACAGCUGCUGCCUUAGGCCACAUGCUUAAUAAUUAUGUGUGGGUUACAACAGGUUAAGUUGAUUGGACUUGUUCUCCACAAUGGUAAGAAAACACAUCACAUAUCAUUUUGAUUACAAAAUAUGAUAUGUGGAGUCAAAAGCUUUUCUAGCAUAGAACUCACUUUUAAAAGUUGUAAUGUAUUAGGAAAACGAAUGAAAUGACCUGAGCAGACCUGCCAUAAGAUUAAACUAUUUCCCCCAGUACUUUAGUAAAGAAUAGGCUUAGAGCAUUGCUUUUCUGGCUGUUGAAUUAUAGUUUGUAGAGUUUAAAUGUAUUAUGAUCCAGGAUUCCUCUAAUGUUUUCCUCUUCUGUAUGCUAUAUAGCAGGAUAAGUUAUGUAAAGAUAGGGGAAGGUUAUUCAUUGAGCUUCCAAUCUAUGUUUAUUUAGGACAGAAUAAAUUAUAUCAUGAAGUAUGCAAAGGGCAGCUAUCUAAGAUAUUUGGAAGCUUAUAAUUCAUACUACUCAGAAGUUAUUCUGUCAUUUUAAAAUUAUGAUUUAGGAUAGGAAACUAAUGCACAGAACUAUAUAACUUAAUUCUUAUCUAGUACAAAGAGGCAGUUUGAGGGAUUUAUGACUCCUCGUGUUUACUCCCUAGCCUUCGGAGGCUGAAGUCAGAACAUAAAUGGGUGGGCAAGACUAUAGUCAGGUAGAAGAAAUAGCCUAUCCUCUAAAUGUGAACCGCCCUUUGCCUCACAGUCUCUGAACUUGUGGAACUGGAAAAGUGAAGACUUUUGUAGUGGGCAGUGCUCUUAAGUGACUGAGGACGUGACGGGUCUUGUGCUCAUGAAGCUGGAUCUAGGUAGUGAGGAAUUGAAGGCAGGAUUCCCAUGUGGAUUAAAAAUAAUAGUUACUGGAAAUUUUCAUCUCAAUGUGCUGCGUACUGGGGUUCUGGACACAUCCAGUGUAUUUCUAGAACCUUCCCUUCCUUCCCUCCACCCUUCUCUCUUUCUCCCUUUCUCUCUUUUUCUCAACCCUCCCUCCUUUCCUUUCUUCCUUUCUGUACCCUCUCCUUCUCUCUUCUUCCCUCCCUUCCUUUGC